GGGAAGCGCCGCUCCGCCCCGCGCGCGCCAUGGCGCUGUCCCAGCCCGGGCCGCGGCAGCCCGAGGAGCCGGCGGCGCACCGCCGGCAGCAGCUGCAGGAGUCCACUUCGUUGGACCCCGCCGAGCCCCGUUCGCCCCAUCAAGAGUCCUCCUCGCCGGGCCCCGCCGAGCCCCGUUCGCCCCAUCAAGAGUCCUCUUCGCCGGGCCCCGCCGAGCCCCGUUCGCCCCAUCCCCAGGAGUCUUCCUCGCCGGGCUCCGCCGAGCCCCGUUCGCCCCAUCAGGAGUCUUCCUCGCCGGGCCCCGCCGAGCCCCGUUCGCCCCAUCAGGAGUCUUCCUCGCCGGGCCCCGCCGAGCCCCGUUCGCCCCCGCAGGAGUUGCUCCCGGCGGGCUCCGCCGAGCCCCGUUCGCCCCCUCAGGAGUCGCCCCCGGCGGGCCCCGCCGAGCCCCGUUCGCCCCAUCAGGAGUCUUCCUCGCCGGGCCCCGCCGAGCCCCGUUCGCCCCAUCAGGAGUCUUCCCCGCGGGCCCCGCCGAGCCCCGUUCGCCCCCGCAGGAGUUGCUCCCGGCGGGCUCCGCCGAGCCCCGUUCGCCCCCUCAGGAGUCGCCCCCGGCGGGCCCCGCCGAGCCCCGUUCGCCCCCUCAGGAGUCACCCCCGGCGGGCCCCGCCGAACCCCGUUCGCCCCAUGAGGAGUCACCCCCGGAGGUCCCGCCGAGCCCCGUUCGCCCCCGCAGGAGUCGCCCCCGGCGGGCCCCGCCGAGCUGCGGCCGAGCGCGGCCCCGGGCCUGGGCCGGCAGCUGCGGGUGGUGCUGGCGCCGCUGCCCGCGGCGGCCUGGCCGCGGCCCCAGAAGCGGCUGCUGAGCGCCCGCUCCCCGGCCGGCAAGAGGCUGUGCCUGGAGCCUGACAGCGGCCCCGGAGCCGCCCCCGGCUCCCCGCCCGGGCCCAGCUCGGCUGCCCGCGGCCAGGACGGGCUGCGGGAUGUGGACAGCGACGGCAGCGACGGGGGAGACACGGCUCCGGUGAGUACCUGGUCCCCGGUUAUUAUCUUUAUAGAAGUAAAGCCUUUAAGAGGUUUUCUUCUGUAAGCAGGUUUUAUUCCCCCUUUUUAACCUCUGGCUGGCAGUGUCCCACUUCAUUUUACCCUUUCACUGAAGUUUUAAAUUCUUAUUGAGUCUCUUCAUUAUUGCUUUCAUUAUUAAAAAUUUUGUUACAGUUCUCUUCAUAGAGUUGAUGCCAGAGUAAGUUUUGUAAAGCAAACUGGACCUGUAUGGACAGAUUUUGUUGUUGAUACAUGACAACCUCAAUUUGUAUGGUCUUACAUUUGUUACUACAUUUGUUAAAAAUAAUUUAAUCAGUUUAGAGACUCACUUCCCUGAGUCUGGGACCACUUUUGCAGCCAUGUGACUGUAUGAUGGAGAGUG
rnacentral:lncRNA from 14 species